AAGUUGGCUCAGAGAAGUUUCUAUCCUGAGUGCACCUGACACCUUGUUUUAUGUCUAUAGAUACUCCAUUUUAAAUAUCUGUUCAUUAACUGACCCCAUCUCCCUGUAGUCAGUGGAGGAGAAAAUAUAGGUAUUAUUUAUGUAGUUUCAGGUAUAAUGUUUUCUCCUUUCUGUCCAGUUCACCAAGCUGGAGAGUUUGCCUUUCUCCUCUUCGUCUGGGCACGGAAUUCCUGCCAUUCCCCCAGGAGAUACUUACCCAGGAACAGCUUCUGGGAUUAUCUCGCCACAAUGGAUCUGCCAUGCCAGAGUGUGGCGGCACAAAACUAAUGGUGGAGCCAAUAAAUGAGUGGAAAGUAAAAGGUCUUUUUUCCACCUUCGUGGGAUCCAUGCAGCAAGGCGGUGAGGUGCGAAGCCAGACUCCUCUUCACUUCCUUAAGAUUAGAAAUCCUGAUUUGGCUAACUGAUCUGGUCAGUAAUGAGCACCAAAUACUGACUGGGAGACUCAGCAAUGAUUGAGAUUCUUACAUCUUGGCACUAAGGAAUCAGGCUUGAGUUCUGGAUGCUGGGAAGUUCAGGAUCAAGGCACCAGCAUGGUCAUAUUCUGGUAAUUGGCAGUUGAUCAAUUGGCACGAUCCUGAUGGGCUGUUUUGGCCCAACCUUCUGUGUGACAGAGCUCCAGGAAGAGGGAACCUAGAGGAGAUUCCAGAGGCCUAGGAAUUGACCGAGUCACAAGAUGGAAGGACCCUUGUUCUCUAAAUCUCCAUGUGGAGGAGAGUGGCCUACUCACCAGGAACACUUUCAUGGGAUGUAACAGUUUUAUUUUUAAGAGCAGCUGGCAGUACCCUAAGGAAUACAGUUGGAGAGGCAAGUUGGGACAAUGUCCUUGCCUGUAUUUGUGUUUUGCAUUUCCAUAGUCCAGAUGAUGUUGUAUCCAGAUGCUAAUGUCCAGAUGCCCCAGCAUAUACUUAUAUAAGUUGAUAUACUUAUAUAAGUUAAGCUACAGGAUCCUAUUCCUUUGCCACUUUAUUUACUAGCAAACGCUUAAAAUGGAAUGCUCUUCUUUGUCUGAACACGUACUAUCAAAGUUUUUCAUCUACCGAGAGUGGUAGAAAACAUAACUAACAAGUCUUAUUUCUUUUAGAACUAUUUUGGUAUGUCUCAAAAUAUGGGAUAUUUUGGUGUAUUCUCAAUGUCAUUGGUACUAGCCUCUCACACCUAAGUGAUCAUCUGGCUUUCCCUAACAUAGUUCUUUGAUUUCAUUGAGAACAGCCCUUUGUCAGAUUUAGGUGGCAUAUGUACUAAUCAUAGUUUAAUUGGUCUCUCCUGGUCUGUGUUGGUACAGGUGUGAUGCAAAUAAAACAUAUAUGUGCAAUGGAAGUGAUUGGAAUUAUGGUCAACUGACAGGAGCCAUCAACCUUUCAGUGCUCGAAUCGCUGGUUUAUUGGAUAAGACAGGACAAUUACCACAACUGGCCUGUCAAGAUGGUUAGAGCUCCCUACAGGCAUUGAGGCAGGUGUUUGUGCCUUCAGUUUAAUCUCUUCCUUUCUGGUUCCAGGCUGGAUGCAGCUCUUGGCGCCAGCAGAAGUGUUUAUACAGAAAUGAGGGUCACCUGGAUGCCCAGCCCAGUGGAUCUGUGUGCUCAUUGCCAAACAAGGCAUGAGCUCCCUGUAAUGCAAGCUCGAUUUCUCUGGGGUAAAGAGCAGCUGGACCAGUUUGCAUUCCCACCAAUAGUGCAAGAGGGUUCCCAUUUAGAAGGAGAUAAAUUUGGGCUUGAUAUGAGGGAAACUUCUUGCUGAAUUGAAGCAUCUGUGCAAGAAAAGAUAGCCCACCUUCCAGACGGGUGAUGACUUUCUCCUUUCUUCAUCACUGAGAGGGAUAAAACGAGCCGGUGCCAAAGGUGGACAUGGAAGAAGGAGACAGUGGGGAUCUGCACAUGAAUGAAGAGACCUGACUGUGGAGUAUUAGAGGAUUUAUUAAAGGAUUGGACAGUUUUCCUUUAUGGUCUUUGUGAAGCCUCGGAGUUACUAACUGCCAGUGCACUAUGGUAUCACAAAGAUAACAGCCUUUACUAGAAGUUCAGUUUUCUAUUCCUACCUUGGAAAGCAGCAGCUUAACAAACCCAAGUGGUCAACGUUUAUGGUACUCCUGUCUUUCUUCUAGGACCCUUUGAAAUAUAUGUCUUUUGAAUUUAGUUUUGCUGGAAAAAUCUGCAUCCAAUUUGAAUGAAAUUGAAUAUGUUUCAGGGCUCAAGCAGCAUGCCUUCCAUCUGAAGCAAAAUGGAGAUGAAUUUCAAUUAGAUGUUCCCAUUAUAAUCUGUCUCCACCUGUAGUUUUCCAUAAAAAUUGCUAGGAAGUGUGGUAUAAUGUAUGAUCAGGAUUUGCCCACUGGCAGCAGUGUCCCAUUAUCUUAGUAAAAAAGCACAAAAUAAUUAGUCUGAUGCAUAUAGAUAGCAGCUUCUUACAGCGAGUGACUUUAAUUGUGGUGAGUAAUAUAUACGGAGUUUGAAGUAUUAUAUAUUUCCCUCCCAAGAAGAUACCAAUUACUAAUUCAGUUGACAAAGUAACAAUAUUUCAGAAGAUUUAAUGCAAACUGAACAUUGUAGUCAAUAGCCACUGUAAAAUGUCCAUUUUAUGGUCUUAUUUUUGCCUGAGCUUAAUUUAUGGUAAUUUGGUAGUUGCAUAUAGCCUGGAAGUAUGCUGUUGGCUUGAAUUAGUACUUGGGUAUUGCAUAAAUCAUACUGAAUGUGUUGGCUUCAUCUAAUGCCCUUCUUUCUCCUACAUUUGGAAUCCUUCUUAUCUUGUCAUUUCUCUCUCCUCAAUCCUACCUGUAAAUUCAUGGGGCUCUAAGAGCUCAGUAUUUAGGAGAUCACUUCCUCAUAGAGUAGCAUCUUCCAAAUGCCAGAUAGAGUUCUGUGCUUCAGAGGGAGGGAAUUUAGCAAAAAUUUUUUUUUUGUGGGAUAGAGUAUUUGUAUUAUCCCACCUUAAGUGCUUUAAAGGAAAAUACAAUUCCCUCUCCCUGUCCUAUUUGCCUCUAAAAUCCAUGCUAAUAUAAAAGGCAAGGUUUAAAAGUAUUAUAUUAUUUGAACUAAUUUUUCCAGUGCUGGUUUAUAUUAGUUUUUUCAAUUUUGUUUUUUAAUCUGAAACAUAGGACAAAUAUGCCAGCAUGCUCUAAGCUCACAGGUAAUCUACCUGGGGACUUAAAUAAUACGAAUCAUCCAACUGUAUGGUAAGAUUUAGUUUAGGUGACUGGGCUUCAAAGAAAUACAUUGGAUGUUUCAGAACUAAUGAGAUAAUUGGCUAUGUUCUGCUGUUCUUUUAUACUUGUUGAUAAAGAUUUUCAAUUUUUAGUUGUGGUUAGUCAUUUUUAAAAAUGAUUAAAAAUUUUAAGUCAAUAAAUGUCACAUAGACAUCUAAUUGUGAGCAACCUCAUUUUGAAUGUUGUAGGAAACCAUGUUUUAAAAUGUAGGUUCUUCUCUUGAACCCAUAAAAUCAUAAUACAAUAUUGACAUCUCUUCCUAAGUUGGAUAACAAUAUUCUUCUAAUUUAGUUACACAACUCUGUUCCUUUACUUAUAAUCAUAAUAGUUAACAUCUGUACAUAAAUUAUACCGAACUUUUAUAGGCAUUACCAGUUUUAACCCACAUGUCAGCCCCCCAUGUUGUAAGAAUUA